GUCCACGCCCUAAACGAUGUCAACUAGGUGUUGGGGGAGGAGACUUCCUUAGUACCGCAGCUAACGCGUGAAGUUGACCGCCUGGGGAGUACGGCCGCAAGGUUGAAACUCAAAGGAAUUGACGGGGACCCCGCACAAGCGGUGGAUUAUGUGGAUUAAUUCGAUGCAACGCGAAAAACCUUACCUACCCUUGACAUGGUCGGAAUCCAGAAGAGAUUUUGGAGUGCCCGAAAGGGAAUCGAUACACAGGUGCUGCAUGGCUGUCGU
rnacentral:rRNA from 1 species